UGACCAUGUCUUUGGUUUAUAGUGAACGGA
rnacentral:piRNA from 1 species